AUGGACUACACUUUAUGCCAAAAUGAGUGGCUAGCCUCUAUACCUUGCAAGAAUCCCUUUUGCUGCUGUCACGAAGGCAGGUGCCACUGGAUUCUGAGAGAGCCACUCACACCAUUUGAGACACAAGAUCUCCAAAUGUCACUCCUGUCUUCAAGAAGGGCACAAAGCAGGUCACAGAGAAACAACAGGCUGGUCAUUAUCACCUCAGACCUGGGAAAGGUGAGGGAACAAAACCACUUCUGGGCAAAUGAAGGACAAAAUGGUGAUCAGGAGUUGUCAGCAUGGUUUCACCAAGGGGAACUCAUACCUGACCAACCUAAUAAACUUCCAAGAAGUAAUAAGUGGCCUAAUGAAUGAAGGGAGCACUUUGGAGAGUAAUACUUUCCACACUGUCAGCCUUAAGAUCCUCACAGAGAAGCUAAUGAACUAUGGGCUGUAUUUACAGCCAGUAAUAUGGAUUGACAUAAAACUGGAAGAAAUGACGGAUGACCCAGAGGGCUGCUGUCCAGAAGGAUCUCAACAGACUAGAGAAAUGGGCUGAAUGGAACCUCAUGAAGUUCAAUAAGCGGAAGAGCAAAGCCCUGCACUAAGUGAGGAACAAACCUAGGCACCAUCACAUGCCAGGGUUUGUCCAGCUGGAAGGCAUUUUGGAAAAAAGGACCUGAGGCUCCUGCUGGACAUCAAGUUGAACAUGAACCAGCAAAAAGUUACCUUGCAUCCAAGAAGACCAAUCAUACCCUGGGAUGCACUAGAGAAAGUAUCACCAGUAAGUUGAGGGAGAUGAUCUUUUCCCACCACUCAACCCUGGUGAGACCAUACCUGGAAUGCUAGGACCAGUUCUGGUCUCGUCAGUACAAAAGAGAUGUGGACGUACUGGACAGAGUCCAGUAUAGGACCAUGAAGAUGACUGAGGGAUAGGAUCAUAUCUCUAUGAGCAGAUGCUGAAAGAGCUACUGAAGAAGAGAAGGCUCAGAGAUCUUAUCAAACUGUAUAAGUACCUGAAGUGAAGCUGCAAUGAGGAUAAAGCCCAGUGGUACUGAGUGCCAGAGCAGGAGGCAAUGGGCACCAACUGGAGCACAGGGGCUCCCUCUGAGCACCAGGCAGCGCUGCUGUGCAGUGCUGGAGCACUGGCACAGGUUGCCCAGAAGCUCUGGGGUCUCCUCCUUGGGAAUGUUCAUAAGCUGCCUGGCCAUGGGCCUGGGUCCCCUGCUCUGGGUGUCCCUGCUGAGCAGAGGAGAUUGAACAAGAUGACCUCUAGAGGGACUUUUCAACCUCAACCAUUCUGUGACACAACUCCAUGACACUAUGAUACAGAUUCUUAUCCAAAGGAUGUCCAACUAUUCCUACCUCUGAAAUAUUUUGAGAACAAAAACAAAAUUUUUAACAGGUUACCUUACGUUCUCAACCAACUGUGUGAUUACUUCUCUACCUUCUCACACAUCUUGUAUUUCCCAGAUUAACCUUAAAUAAGUUUUUCAUCAAUGGAGUUGGACAGCCAGACAUAGCUAAAAAUCCGUUACAGACUCAGAUAGUGGCAGUGAUUUCAAGUGGAAAAUGCCCAGACACUUAUGGGUAGUGGUAAAAUGUCUUCAAGCAUAUACUUCCAUGCUGCUCAUUUCUAUGUCAACUGCACAAAUUAUCCCUACCUAGACUACGUUUUAAAUAUUAUGUUUGAAUGGCAUGACACCCAACUGAAUGGCACCAUAACUGAAGCUUCCUUUUGGGGAUAAUUUUGGAACAUAACCUUGCUAUUAAAUUCUUCUUACAGCCUUGAAGUAUUUGUAAAAUCAAUGAAUAUACAACUUAGCUCAUUCCCUAGUUAUUAAAUAAGAAAACUGAAGAAAGUUGGUUGCCAAGGAAUGAGCAUUCAAAAAAUACAUUAUAACAGCAACUGUAAUAGUAACAGCAUUCAUAACAACAACUACAGCUCAACUGUUUACAAUGAAUAUAGUCUUUUCAGUUUCUUCAAAGCCAUAUGCUUCAUAUGCACAACAGUGGUAACCAGAACAAACUUUGGCUGCAUUGAGGAAACUGGAAAUACAAAGAAGGUAUUAAGGCACUGUGAAUAAAACGCAAUAUUAUGAGUACCUAACCAUAAUCAGGAGGAAAAAAACCUCCACUAUUAGUAAUAUUUACAAUUUAAUACGAACUUCAGCACAAAAAAUUGCAACCAGAGUUCAAAAAAUACAUUGCCUAACAGAACAUCAAUUUUAAGGCCUAUUUCUUUGUUUAAUUUUGUCAAAAGUUCUGUGUAUUUUCAAAAUAUAAUUAACAGAUUUCAUGGUCUGUAAGUAUGAAACUCCAUUUAAGCUGAAUAUUUAAAAAUAAACUAAAAUUGAUUCUGAAUGAAAUUUAAACAGUAACAACAAAUAUGCAUAUUUUAAACCACUUACACAUGGGUUCAAAAGCAAACAUUUUUAUGUGAAUUUAUGAGACAUUUCUAAAAAAUACAGCAAAUUAAACAUUUAAAGUUCAAAUAAUAUCAGGUCACAUUUGAAAUAUCGGAAAAUUGGAAUGGUCUUUGUUCUUCACGUGUCUCAUUAUGAAAAGAAUACUUACAACUUUAUACUUGAAGUUCUACCCUAAGACUGAAUGACCUAGCUUUGCCAGUUUCUGUUAAAUCAUAACAUUUUCAGGUAGCAAGAAAAGUAAAAUUUUUCAUAUGGCUCUCGUUGUGGCUUAGCACUGUAAAAGGUCCAUGAGUGAAAUAUUGGCCCCAUCAAAGUCAAAACUUCCCUGAACUUUGACAGAAUCAAAAUUUCACCUCAUAUCUGCUAAAGUUAUGAAGCUUUACAGAUACUUUAGAAGCAUGAAAAAAAUGAAAUGACAUCUUCUGGUCCUUUAAAAGCUCUUCACACACAUUAUGUAGAUUAGUAUAGCAUUCUAUGCAUGAUCAAUAUCACAAAAACCAUGCAUUUGCAUAGACGUGCUAUAUAUAAUACUGCAUGUCUCACCAUUCAAGCUUGGCAUGCACAGAAAGCACAUCUCUUUACUAAGAGUUCCGUGUGUGGAGUAUUUGAACAAAUAGGAAAAUGAAGCAGUAGUAGUUCCUCAGAUUGGAUUCUAAUGUAAUCAUUUAAGUUAUUGGUAAAAAGGGUCAUACUUGAUUUUCAGUUUUCCCUUUACCAACAAGGGGUUGGAAAGCAAAUAGUGUCAGCUUGUAAAAUGCCCUCAGUAGGAUGUUCUAAAUGGGCAAUUAUUAUAAACAUACUCUCCAGUAUGUUUUAAAGCUAUACAGACAUUACUUAGUCUACAGAGAGCAGCUUACUUACGUCUGGGGCUCCUUUUCAUUUUGCUGUUUUUGCUGUGGUUGUAGAACGUUAUUUACCAGCUCAGUGAUCCCACUAAAGGGAAACCACCUGUUUAAAUAAGCAAAUAAUGUGACUGAAUAACCAAUAAAACCACACUAGUUCAAAUGUUUUCUUAUCCAAUAAUAAUAGAAAUAGACAGGCGGAAAAGCUAGAGCCAAUGGGAAUGCUAUAGCUGCAAUACUAAAUCAGCCACUACAGGUGGAAGGGAAGUAAAGUUUAACAGUUAACCAGUUCACAAGCAGGCAGCAAGAACCUACAUCCAACUAAGAUGUGGAUGAAGUAAGAAGCUGCAGGCAGCUCUCUUACAAGCCAGUCAGGAAGCAGAAGGCAAACUAACUGCAGCCUUUCAGGUAUUAGCUUACACUAAUACCAUCAAAGGUGCCAAAAGCAGAACAUGGCAAAGGUAGAAAAGUCAAGCCUACUGCACUUUUAAGAUAUUUUACUUACUGUGUCAGCUGUGGUUUUUGCUCUUCUUUGACCCUAAAAAGAUAAGUUUGCACAACUGAGUGCAAUAUGUCGUAAAACAACUAUCCUG
rnacentral:lncRNA from 1 species